rnacentral:rRNA from 1 species
AUACGGAGGGUGCAAGCGUUACUCGGAAUCAUUGGGCGUAAAGCGCGCGCAGGCGGCUAUUUAAGUUGGAUGUGAAAGCCUACGGCUCAACCGUAGAACUGCAUCCAAAACUAUUUAGCUAGAGUGUGGGAGAGGAAGAUGGAAUUAGUUGUGUAGGGGUAAAAUCCGUAGAGAUAACUAGGAAUACCAAAAGCGAAGGCAAUCUUCUGGAACACUACUGACGCUGAGGCGCGAAAGCGUGGGGAGCAAACAGGAUUAGAAACCCCGGUAGUCC